rnacentral:rRNA from 1 species
GACGAACGCUGGCGGCGUGCCUAACACAUGCAAGUCGAGCGAUGAAAUCCCUUCGGGGUUAGUGGCGCACGGGUGCGUAACGCGUGGGAAUCUGCCCUUGGCUUCGGAAUAACAGUUGGAAAUGACUGCUAAUACCGGAUGAUGUCGCGAGAUCAAAGAUUUAUCGCCUGAGGAUGAGCCCGCGUUGGAUUAGGUAGUUGGUGGGGUAAAGGCCUACCAAGCCGACGAUCCAUAGCUGGUCUGAGAGGAUGAUCAGCCACACUGGGACUGAGACACGGCCCAGACUCCUACGGGAGGCAGCAGUGGGGAAUAUUGGACAAUGGGCGAAAGCCUGAUCCAGCAAUGCCGCGUGAGUGAUGAAGGCCCUAGGGUUGUAAAGCUCUUUUACCCGGGAAGAUAAUGACUGUACCGGGAGAAUAAGCCCCAGCUAACUCCGUGCCAGCCGCCGCCGUAAGAC